UACGUAGGGUGCAAGCGUUGUCCGGAAUUAUUGGGCGUAAAGAGCUCGUAGGCGGUCUGUCGCGUCGGAUGUGAAAACUCGGGGCUCAACCCCGAGCCUGCAUUCGAUACGGGCAGACUAGAGUUCGGUAGGGGAGACUGGAAUUCCUGGUGUAGCGGUGAAAUGCGCAGAUAUCAGGAGGAACACCGGUGGCGAAGGCGGCAUCCUGGACCAACACUGACGCUGAGUGAGCGAAAGCCAGGGGAGCAAACGGG
rnacentral:rRNA from 1 species